rnacentral:rRNA from 1 species
AAAGAAACCAACAGGGAUUGCCUCAGUAACGGCGAGUGAAGCGGCAACAGCUCAAAUUUGAAAUCUGGCCCUAGGCCCGAGUUGUAAUUUGCAGAGGAUGCUUUUGGCGAGGUGCCUUCCGAGUUCCCUGGAACGGGACGCCAUAGAGGGUGAGAGCCCCGUCUGGUCGGACACCGAGCCUCUGUAAAGCUCCUUCGACGAGUCGAGUAGUUUGGGAAUGCUGCUCUAAAUGGGAGGUAUAUGUCUUCUAAAGCUAAAUACCGGCCAGAGACCGAUAGCGCACAAGUAGAGUGAUCGAAAGAUGAAAAGCACUUUGAAAAGAGAGUUAAAUAGCACGUGAAAUUGUUGAAAGGGAAGCGUUUAUGACCAGACUUGGCCCGGUUGAUCAUCCAGCGUUCUCGCUGGUGCACUCUGCCGGUCCAGGCCAGCAUCAGUUCGUCGCGGGGGAUAAAGGUUUCGGGAAUGUGGCUCCUUCGGGAGUGUUAUAGCCCGUUGCGUAAUACCCUGCGGUGGACUGAGGUCCGCGCUUCUGCAAGGAUGCUGGCGUAAUGGUCAUCAACGACCCGUCUUGAAACACGGACCAAGGAGUCGUCUUCGUAUGCGAGUGUUCGGGUGUAAAACCCCUACGCGUAAUGAAAGUGAACGCAGGUGAGAGCUUCGGCGCAUCAUCGACCGAUCCUGAUGUUCUCGGAUGGAUUUGAGUAAGAGCAUACGGGGCCGGACCCGAAAGAAGGUGAACUAUGCCUGUAUAGGGUGAAGCCAGAGGAAACUCUGGUGGAGGCUCGCAGCGGUUCUGACGUGCAAAUCGAUCGUCAAAUAUGGGCAUGGGGGCGAAAGACUAAUCGAACCUUCUAGUAGCUGGUUUCCGCCGAAGUUUCCCUCAGGAUAGCAGUGUUGAACUCAGUUUUAUGAGGUAAAGCGAAUGAUUAGGGACUCGGGGGCGCUAUUUAGCCUUCAUCCAUUCUCAAACUUUAAAUAUGUAAGAAGCCCUUGUUGCUUAAUUGAACGUGGGCAUUCGAAUGUAUCAAC